UUUUGAAACAAAACACUGAAAAAUAACAUAAUUUUGGUUUAUACAGAAUUUAUGAAAGUAUAUGCAUCUUUCUUUUCUUGUUCAAAAAGCCUGUAUUGUAUGAUGAUGUAUUCAGGCACACAUACAGUAUGUAUAUGACUGGGAUGUUCUGUUGGGUUUAAUUGUUGGCAUAUCUUUGUUGAUUAGCCUGAGUAAACCUAAUUUAAGACCAGACAGAGCAAAUAAUUUACUAUGAAUAAUUUAUUUGAUAAAUUUAGUCAUAUUUUCAUCUCUUGUCAUAUUUAUGAGCAGAUUGCAAAGUAGCUUUUUUCCCUACUGUAUGACUUCAUUAUUGAUAUUCAAAAUCUGCAUUGUACUCAUCAGUUGUGAUUGGCUGGAGAAUUCAUAUGUUGUUGUACCUGUUAUUUUAUCUUUGGAGCUAAGGCUGCAAAGUUUUGAGUGAUCAUUCUGGUUUCUGUCCAACAUAGUGUCUGUCUUCAAAGGUGACUGAUGGGGACCGUCCCUUGAGGAUCUGGGCUAAUGCGCCUUACUUUCAAGCACGCAUGUUCCUGCUGAGCUCCAGAGCAUCCAGCAUCUCCAAAGAAUGAACCAAGAACACUAAAAUUUUCUAUCAGACAGACUUCUUUCCAGGGGAAAGAAAAUAACAGGUGAAGAAAAAGAACACUGUGGUUCCUAAGAGAGAAUAGGGCAUCAAGAUAUCCUUCAGAAAUUAAUCUUGCUAGAUUAUUGCUCUGCAGGUAUAAAUAUGGGGGCCUGUUUAUAAGUUAUCUAGAGGGAGCGACUAAAAGAAACAAGCAGAAGACACAGAUGGUCAACAAGGACAUAAAUUAGCUCAGACCGAUAAGAACACUGCAAACUUGCAAGACCAUCACAUUCUAGACAAAAGGUGAAAAGUACACCAUGAGGAAGACCUACGGCCUUCCUCCCAAAGACCACUGCCCACGUCCCGGAGACCCCUGCCCAGAAUUUUUGGAAGAAUUUGCGCAAGCGUGAAGGACUGAUAAGCUAAUUAACAUAUGAAGCAAGAGUAUGUUAAUGAUUUUCGGGAAAUACUAUGUUUAUGCAUGAAUACUUAAUGAAUAUGUAUGAAUAAGUUCUAUAUGAGGUGUAUGAUUUUGAAGCUUGGUGUGUGUCGAUCGUGAGAGGACUCACUCACGCACCCAGCCGUCAAUAAAGAAGUGUCUGCUUAUCUACAUCACAUUGGUGUUGAUAAGUUUUUCA